ensembl:lncRNA
GGGAGAGGCACCUAGAGCAGAGGCGUCUGGCUUUAAAUUCUGAGAGCCUGAGUUAUCGGCUGCUUUUUCGUGUGUGGCUCUUGCGACCUUCGACCUGUGUGCCGUGCUUUUCUGUUGCCUGGCACCUUUCCCGGUCAGUGUUGUACCUUUGUUGGGAUGAACUGGCCCUAAGCACAACUUCCGGUGAUCCUCAGCAAAAGUGGCUGCUUACUACUUACUGCUGGGUGUAUGCUUGACAGUUCUUUCCUCAUCAUACCCAAGAACCUGGAUUAUUAUUGGAUCAUUCAACUGCAACCCUUACUGAAUUAAUGGAUGUCACUUACUUGUGAGCUAAGAGCCCUGCAGUCCAGGGCAAGAUGAGCACAGAUGAUGCAAUGGGGACUCGGCCGAGGCAGCAGGUAAUCAGGAGCCGCCCGGUGGCCUCACUGUCCACCACUGGGCGAGGACGAGCGCAGGUCAAGGAGACCGGGAGGCCAGGCGGUGUCCUGGAGCAGGGUCCCCGGGGAGUUGAGAGUCCAGCACGAAGGGCAGAGAGGCCACUCCAGGUACAUGGGAUCAUGGGAUGAGAGGCAGCCAGAGCCAGAGAUAGCCAGAAGAAAGGUCUCAAGAAUCCCAACGCAGUGACCAGGUCCGCAGCAUGGAGACCGAGACUCUCCCUGGUUUGACCAUUCCAAGGGCUGAAAGGACUGUAACCAAAUUAGAGAUGUAUUCAUCCAUAAGAGGUACAACAGGCUUCCAGCCGACACGCCAGGUUGUUCAUGUCCUGCAGCAGCACUAAAACUCCAGCCAAGAAGUCAGAUGGUAUAAACCCUCAGAGGCCCGGAGCUUGGGAGAGGGGACGUGAGUGGUAGAGGAAUCUCCAGACUCCUGGCUGCCGGAGAGAGUAGAUGGAGGGGCCAUGGCUGACACAGCCAAGCCAGUCCCCCAGGGCGGAGGGGCACACAGAUGCAAGGCUUCACCCCGAGAACCCCAGAGGAGCUCAGACUGGGAGACUAGGUAUUGUGGGUGGUAGGGUCAGGUGCAGGGGCCAGUGGGGUUAAGGGACCAGGAAAAGUGGUUGAAAUCCUUCCCAGGUCCCGCCCCUGCAUGCAGUGGCACAUGGGCUGGCAGGAGGGUAAGUGAAUGGAGGGGUGAAAACAGGAAGAGAAUCAAGUGUGGAGCCUGAACAGUAGGAGUCAAUGUCCCACCCCCUUGCCUCCACUUGAACUGCCCUAGACCUAUACCACCCUAUUAAAUUUAAACAGGGCCGCCAGUUCUUCAACACUUCUCUCACUGAGAUGAGGGUCUGUCUUCUUCCUUCAGUCUGGCCUUUUUGUGACUAAAGUGGAAGUGAUGCUGCAUGACUUCCAAAACCAGGCCAUAGAACCUUGUGUAGCUUCCAUCUUACUGGCCAGAACACUUGCCCCUGGAGAUCUGAGCUAUACCACAUGAGUUCAGCAGCCUGGCCACUGUGCUAGGCAGGCCGUGUGUGCUCUCUGGUCAACGGCGCAGCUGAACCCAGCCUUCCAGCGAUCUUGGCCCAGUGAGUAAACCAUCUUGGAUGAAUCCUUCAGCCCCGGCUGCUCCAGCUCCCAGCCACCAUUCCAGUCACCCUCAGUCAUUCUAGUCAUUCUGGCUUAGCCCCAGAUACUGCAGACUAGAGAUGAGCUGAGCCCUGUCUGGGUCCCUGACGUGCAGCAUAAUAAAGUGGUGCAGCAGUUGUUUUAGGCCACAGAGUUUUGAUAACUAUACGGCAAUAGAUAACUGGAACAAGGAGACAGAACAUGUCUCUUAAGAGUCUGCAUGGCUCUAGAGAGGUGCUAAUUUCUUUUAAGAUUACUUCUGGGAAUUCAGUAGGAGUCCUUGCUUUUCUAACUCCCAACAGAGGUAAAAUGCUGGGUUGACUGAAGGUGGGUGAGGAGUCAGGCUCAGGGCUGGAGUCACAAGGCUGCUCUCUAGAUGUGCUAGCGCCAUGUUGUCUCAGCAGGAGAAGCCUGAGCGUGCUCAUUGUCAUCUCAGCCUGGGGUAGAUGGGCCUUAGCUCUCCAUGGCCACCAGCCUUCUGGCCUGAUAAAAUGACCUCUCCCUUCACCCAUUGUCUUUCCUUUACCCUCUCUGCCCUGCCUCUCUCUCAGCCCUCCAGAGCUCUGUCCCAGGGCUACAAAGCUGGCCGGCCUGCCAAAGGCAAAGGUGCUGCACCCCCAAC